UACGAAGGGGGCUAGCGUUGCUCGGAAUCACUGUGCGUAAAGGGUGCGUAGGCGGGUCUUUAAGUCAGGGGGGAAAUCCUGGAGCUCAACUCCAGAACUGCCUUUGAUACUGAAGAUCUUGAGUUCGGGAGAGGUGGGUGGAACUGCGAGUGUAGAGGUGAAAUUCGUAGAUAUUCGCAAGAACACCAGUGGCGAAGGCGGCUCACUGGCCCGAUACUGACGCUGAGGCACGAAAGCGUGGGGAGCAAACAGG
rnacentral:rRNA from 1 species